GCAAGUCUGGUGCCAGCAGCCGCGGUAAUUCCAGCUCCAAUAGCGUAUAUUAAAGUUGUUGCAGUUAAAAAGCUCGUAGUUGAAUUUUGGACUCGGUUGGAUGGUCUGCCUUUGGUAUGUACUGUCCUGACCGGGUCUCACCUUCUGGUGAGCUGUCGUGUUGUUUACUCAGCGCGGCAGGGAACCAGGACUUUUACUUUGAAAAAAUUAGAGUGUUUAAAGCAGGCAUUCGCUUGAAUACAUUAGCAUGGAAUAAUAGAAUAGGACUUUGGUUCUAUUUUGUUGGUUUCUAGGACCGAAGUAAUGAUUAAUAGGGAUAGUUGGGGGCAUUAGUAUUUAAUUGUCAGAGGUGAAAUUCUUGGAUUUAUUAAAGACUAACUUCUGCGAAAGCAUUUGCCAA
rnacentral:rRNA from 1 species